rnacentral:rRNA from 1 species
CUGGCGGUAUGCUUAACACAUGCAAGUCGAACGGUAGCAGGCCUUCGGGCGCUGACGAGUGGCGGACGGGUGAGUAACGCGUAGGAAUCUGCCUGGUAGUGGGGGACAACGUGGGGAAACUCACGCUAAUACCGCAUACGCCCUACGGGGGAAAGCGGGGGCUCUUCGGACCUCGCGCUAUCAGAUGAGCCUGCGUUAGAUUAGCUAGUUGGUAGGGUAAAGGCCUACCAAGGCGACGAUCUAUAGCUGGUCUGAGAGGACGAUCAGCCACACUGGGACUGAGACACGGCCCAGACUCCUACGGGAGGCAGCAGUGGGGAAUAUUGGACAAUGGGCGCAAGCCUGAUCCAGCAAUACCGCGUGUGUGAAGAAGGCCUUAGGGUUGUAAAGCACUUUCAAUGGGGAGGAAAACCUGCCGGUCAAUACCCGGUAGCUUGACAUUACCUUUAGAAGAAGCAUCGGCUAACUCCGUGCCAGCAGCCGCGGUAAUACGGAGGGUGCGAGCGUUAAUCGGAAUUACUGGGCGUAAAGCGUGCGUAGGCGGUUCGUUAAGUCAGAUGUGAAAGCCCCGGGCUUAACCUGGGAACUGCAUUUGAAACUGGCGGACUAGAGUUGAGUAGAGGGGAGUGGAAUUUCAGGUGUAGCGGUGAAAUGCGUAGAUAUCUGAAGGAACACCAGUGGCGAAGGCGACUCCCUGGACUCAAACUGACGCUGAGGUACGAAAGCGUGGGUAGCAAACAGGAUUAGAUACCCUGGUAGUCC